rnacentral:rRNA from 1 species
ACGUACACUCCUACGGGAGGCAGCAGUGGGGAAUUUUGGACAAUGGGCGAAAGCCUGAUCCAGCCAUGCCGCGUGCAGGAUGAAGGCCUUCGGGUUGUAAACUGCUUUUGUACGGAACGAAACGGCCUUUUCUAAUAAAGAGGGCUAAUGACGGUACCGUAAGAAUAAGCACCGGCUAACUACGUGCCAGCAGCCGCGGUAAUACGUAGGGUGCAAGCGUUAAUCGGAAUUACUGGGCGUAAAGCGUGCGCAGGCGGUUAUGUAAGACAGUUGUGAAAUCCCCGGGCUCAACCUGGGAACUGCAUCUGUGACUGCAUAGCUAGAGUACGGUAGAGGGGGAUGGAAUUCCGCGUGUAGCAGUGAAAUGCGUAGAUAUGCGGAGGAACACCGAUGGCGAAGGCAAUCCCCUGGACCUGUACUGACGCUCAUGCACGAAAGCGUGGGGAGCAAACAGGAUUAGAAACCCGUGUAGUCCC